rnacentral:misc_RNA from 1 species
GAUGAAGAACGCAGCGAAAUGCGAUAAGUAAUGUGAAUUGCAGAAUUCAGUGAAUCAUCGAAUCUUUGAACGCACAUUGCGCCCCUUGGUAUUCCGAGGGGCAUGCCUGUUCGAGCGUCAUUAUAACCCCUCAAGCUCAGCUUGGUGUUGGGGCCUGCUGCACUGGCAGCCCUUAAAAUCAGUGGCGGCGCCAUCUGGCUCUAAGCGUAGUAAUUCUUCUCGCUAUGGAGUCCUGGUGGAUGCUUACCAUCAACCCCCAAUUUUUCUAUGGUUGACCUCGGAUCAGGUAGGGAUACCCGCUGAACUUAAGCAUAUCAAUAAGCGGAGGA